rnacentral:rRNA from 1 species
GGAGGAACAUGUGGUUUAAUUCGAUGAUACGCGAGGAACCUUACCCGGGCUUGAAUUGCAGAGGAAGGAUUUGGAGACAAUGACGCCCUUCGGGGCCUCUGUGAAGGUGCUGCAUGGUUGUCGUCAGCUCGUGCCGUGAGGUGUCGGCUUAAGUGCCAUAACGAGCGCAACCCCUCUCCUUAGUUGCCAUCAGGUUAAGCUGGGCACUCUGGGGACACUGCCACCGUAAGGUGUGAGGAAGGUGGGGAUGACGUCAAAUCAGCACGGCCCUUACGUCCGGGGCUACACACGUGUUACAAU